AUCCCAGACUCCUACGGGAGGCAGCAGUGGGGGAUAUUGCACAAUGGGGGAAACCCUGAUGCAGCGACGCCGCGUGGGUGAAGAAGUGCCUCGGCGCGUAAAGCCCUGUCAGCAGGGAAGAAAAUGACGGUACCUGAAGAAGAAGCCCCGGCUAACUACGUGCCAGCAGCCGCGGUAAUACGUAGGGGGCAAGCGUUAUCCGGAUUUACUGGGUGUAAAGGGGGCGCAGACGGCCAUGGCAAGCCCGGUGUGAAAGGCAGGGGCAUAACCCCUGGACUGCACUGGGAACUGUCAGGCUGGAGUGCCGGAGGGGUAAGCGGAAUUCCUGGUGUAGCGGUGAAAUGCGUAGAUAUCAGGAGGAACACCGGCGGCGAAGGCGGCCUGCUGGACCGCGACUGACGUUGAGGCUCGAAAGCGUGGGGAGCGAACAGGAUUAGAUACCCUCGUAACA
rnacentral:rRNA from 1 species